AAAAUGUUGCAUUCAAUUUUGGAAUGUGAAGAGAUCAUUUGAAGCCGAUCCAGAGGCCUCUAAGAUGUCUUAAAACUAUUUAAGGGGAUCCACGCAAAAUGUUGUUCCCUUAAAAGAGGGCACAUCUCUCUCACGUGGAGAAAUACUGGUAAGAGGAAAAGACUUUCAAGUCAACCAACUUGAUGUGGUGUGCAGGUGCUGCAAUUUACUUCAGACAUUGCAUCUAUAAAAGAAAGAUAAGGUCUCGGCUGGCAAGAUGGCCUAAGAGGAACAGCUCCAGUCUGCAGCUCCCAGCAAGAUUGAUGCAGAAGUGACCGGAUCUCACUCUGGCACCUAGACUGGAGGGUACUGGCAUGAACUCCUGGGCUCAGAUGUCCUCCCACCUCCACCUUCUGAGUAGCCGGAAUUACAGGAAUGAACCAUCAUGCUCAGAUUUCAAGCUCCCUGAAGAUGAAGGCUGAAUCCUACACCUCGCUUGUAUCCUCCAUGGCUCAUUGAACAAGUGCUAGCUAGCUACAUGGAGACUGCUCAAUAAAUAUUGAAUAACUCA
rnacentral:lncRNA from 1 species